ensembl:lncRNA uncharacterized LOC107324772
AUGCAUCUGGUAAGAGUUUGGGGCGAGCAGCUGGGCAGCACGUGGUGGGCAGAGCUGCUGGGGUUGUCCAAGUUUGGGUUGGCUAAAGGAUGGGACUCCCCUGGGAAGAGGAGAGUUGUAAAGAACUCAGUGGGCAGGGGAACCUGGAGCACAACCAGAAUCCCCAUGGAAGGCUGCCGGAUGCGUGGCUGCUCCAGAUGUGCUGCUGUCCUCACCUGUGGUGAUUUGCUUUGGCAGCCUGGUCCCAGGCAGCCCAGGCCUUUCCCUGGCCCUGCUGACAUCCACUGGAAUGAAGAGAACUGGGAAUGGGACCCCCAGGACUGUGAAGAGCCGCCGCCUCCAUGGAUGGAAAGAGAGGAUCACCACGGCCAUGAGGAAAUGUUUGUCAAGGACUUGCAGCUGCCUAAUGAGGACUCACUGAAGACCUCCUCUGUGCAGGGAUCAAGGCUAGGGCAACACUUUAGCAAGAUGUCCUCAAAGCGGUUCUGCAGGAGGGGGCCCCGGGCCUUUCCCUGGGAGCCCUAUCCGCGUCACGCUGGGCCUCCACCUCCACAUGCUCAUGGCCCCUGGGAUGCCUGGCAUGAUCCUCCAUGGGAGCACCAGCACUGGAGAGCCAGGGGAAGGAUGCAUCUGCCUGGUCCCAGGCAGCCCAGGCCUUUCCCUGGCCCUGCUGACAUCCACUGGAAUGAAGAGAACUGGGGAUGGGACCCCCAGGACUGUGAAGAGCCGCCGCCUCCAUGGAUGGAAAGAGAGGAUCACCACGGCCAUGAGGAAAUGUUUGUCAAGGACUUGCAGCCGAUACCACAGCUGCGUCACUGGGACUUCUUUGCCCAGCCUGAGUUCCCCGGCCAGGAGCACCAUCCUGCUGAAUUCCUAUGGGAGCAAGAAGUCUUCCAGGACAACUUCUCACCCCAGCACCAUCGUGGCCCACGCCAGAAACGCUGCCGGCUCCUUCGGCCCAUCCAGCAGAGACAGCAUCCGCACAGCCAGUUCUCACCCCAGAGCUCUCAAGGUUUGUGCUGCUUCAGUGUUGGCUGCUGCCCGGGACCCCUCUGUUCUGUGGUGGGUGCAGCCAGCAGCAUCUGCAUGGGGGGGUUUAGCACUUUGUGUAUUAAGUCCUGUUGUGUUUCUGCAGGACACCAUCCAUCCUCCAAACCCUCUCAGUCGAGCUCCCCAGCCAGCCAGCCAGGUGUUAAAGAGCACCUUGGUGCUCCCCAGUCACCUACUGCCUGCAAAAAGAGUCUGCAAAGCGAGAAGCAGGUGGAUGAGGGCCUGCUGGCGGCAAACAGCCAGGUGCUGGAACAGCCUGGGCAUGCAGAGAAAAGCCCAGAGAAGAGCCCAGAGACAAGCCCAGGCACUGACCCCCAGGAAGUGGAGCAGGAGCCAGCAGCAGAAUCAAAGCCAGUUGAGCCAGAAGUUGGAGAGGAAGUUGCAAGCAACCAGCAGCCCUCUGCAUCGGAACUGGAGCCAGUCUCACCAGAGAUGACCAGCACCAAGGAGGAUGAAGGCUUGGAGCUGAUUCCACUGGAGGCUACUGCAGAGCCCAGCACACAGCCCAGCACGGCCAGCUCCAGUGUCUGCACUGAGGCAGCAGCACCAGCCGGGACCGGGCAGCAUCCUUGGGGUUGGACAGAGCUGGCUGCAGGCUUCCAGAGCUUACCCCACCCCCUGCACUCCACACAUUCCCCCACCAGCACAGACCCGCGCUCUGCUGCCAUCCUCACCAAGAAGGAGAGCAUCGAGCAGGGAUACCACGACUUCUGCCUGAAUUUUGCCAUGGUGUCCAUCAUGCUGCUGCAGAAGGAGCCCUCUAUGGAGGGGGUGCUGAUGAAGGCACUGAGAGACAACCUGUGUGAGCUCCGCAACCGCUUCAUCAAGGAGAUGGAGGACUUCAUCCAGGAGUACGAUGAGUUGCACCCCAGCUGCUGA